AUGGUUGCUGAAUUGUUGUCCAUCAUGAUAAAGAACAGUGGAUCUGAAGGCUUUAACAUAUUGGGGAAACACAUUAUAAUAACUCAGUUUGCAGAUGAUACAACUUUGUUUUUAAAAAAUGAAAACCAUAUCAUCACAGCACUAGAUUCGAUUAAUCAAUUUUCAAAAGCAUCAGGUGUUACGUUAAAUAUUAAUAAAUGUGAAAUUCUUUCUUUGCAUGAACAACCAGCUCACUCAAUCAAUAAUAUAAGUGUUAAAACAGAUGUUAAAUAUUUGGGCAUUACAGUCACCCGAAAUAAAGAAAUAAGGGAAAAAGAAAAUAUUCUUAGAAAUAUUGAUAAAUGUAAAAAAAUGUUAAACUUAUGGCUACAAAGGGAUAUAACAAUAUUUGGCAGGGUUUUACUGUCCAAAAUGGAAAGUAUAUCCAGAGCUAUUUACCCGGCCUAUUCAUUAGGAAUUUCAGAGAACAUGAUUAAUUUAAUGAACAAAACGAACUUCAACUUUAUUUGGAAGGAAAAAUGCCAUUACAUUAGGAAAGCUGACAUGAUUAAGAGUAUUGAGGAAGGUGGCAUGAAUGUUAUAGAUUUUUCUGUAAUGAAUGGUGUACUGAAGUUAAAGUGGUUGAAUUCAUUUGUUAAUCAUAAGGACUCCUUCUGGUUUAGCAUCCCUAAUGCAAUUUUUGGUAAACUGGGUGGAAUUGAUUUUUUACUGUGCUGUGAUUAUGAUUUACAAAAAUUGCCUGUAAAACGAUCAGAUUUCCACCAGCAAGUUCUUCGAUACUGGAACCUAAUAUUUAAACACAAUUUUACUCCACAUAAUACACCUCUGUGGAACAAUAGAUGUAUUCUUAGUAAUCGAAAAUCUUUGUUUCUAAGGACUUGGAUGGAAAAGGGAAUAUGGACAAUUUCGCAUUUGAUGGAUAAUUUUGGUAAUUUUUUAUGUUAUAGUGAUUUGUGUGAUAAAUUUAAUCUUCAAUGCUCAAUUAGAGAAUAUAACAAAGUAAUGAAGGCCAUCCCAGUACCCUUCUCUUCAUUACAUGAUGGACAGGAACGCCCAGAAACUCUUAUAUGCUUUGAACUUGUUUUUGUUGUUAGAAUAAGACCCUCAUCCUUCUUUUUCUAUUCCUGUUUCAUUUUGUUUUAUCUUAUUGUGUGA
rnacentral:lncRNA from 1 species